CAGUGGUCCCUGUUCAUCUCUACACAUUUGUCAUUUGCCCUAUUUUAAAAUAUUCGCCAUGCGUGCAGCUACUUGCUUACUUUACCCUGAUCAGAGGAUGAGAUCGUUAACUAACUAAGAAGGAAGAGAGAGAAUGUAGCGGUGUCCUCACAGACCCUGGAAAAGAAGCCACGAGGUAGUAACAGUUGAGGUGGGCUGGGAGCGCGUGCUCACAGCAGCAGUUCGAGGUUAACAACCACCUCCAUAUGUGGCCCUUGCUGGUAGCGCUGCUGUUAGGUUCUUUUCACUGUGGUUUGGCACAGCUAUUGUUUAAAAAUAUUAGCUCUGUGAAAAUUGACCAUUGCAAGAACAUUGUUCUCAUUCCGUGCUAUGUCUCCAACCUAGAGGCAGAAAACAUCAAUGAAUUAUUUUUGAAGUGGAAAUUUGGACGUAAUUCGGAUAUAAUUUUUGUCUUUGAUGGAUAUGCAAACAAAUCUGCUGCAUUUUAUAAAUUUUCAAGUGCACAUAUUUUCCCCUCAGAAUUUCUAAAAGGAAAUGCUUCUUUGAACGUGGCUAAGGAGGAAGUUAAAAAUGGAAAAUACACAUGCGAAGUGACAGAAUUAAGCAGAGAGGGACAACAGACCGUGGAUCUACAAUACACUGAUGGUUCAUUGUUUACUUUAAAGGAACAUAUUUCCAUUAUUAUUUUGCCAUUUUUGACUCUAAUUCUGUUCUGGGCACAGUUUGGUAUUUUAAUACAAAAAUAUAAAUCCAACCCUGUAAACAGGAAAACUAUUAUUUUAUUUGCUACUGGACUAUUGAUCACCAUCGUUGUCAUUACUGGAGCCAGCCUUUUGAUCCCAGGUGGCUUUGCAAAAAGGAAAGGCUAUGGGUUUGCUUUCCUCACUACUCCUUCAGUGAUACCUGUAUUUCUCCAGUACCAUAAGUUUAAGCCAGCGAUUGGGAGGACUCUCCAUACCGUGAUCAUGUUAACCAUCAUUCAGGCAGUGGGCACUGUACUCACUGUGGCGGGACUCUAUCACAGUUCAUUAGACUGCGUACCAAGAUAUGGCUCCAUACUAAUUUUAGGUUUGGCCAUAGUAGCUCUAGGAGAAUUAUUUGGACUAAUUUACAUGAAAUGCUUUGACCCACUGAUUGAAUUUCAAUAAGACUUGAAAGCACAGGCUGCGUCGUCUUUCUUCCCUACUUUGUCUCAGUAGCUCACAAGGAAUCCUAAAUUCAACAAUUUCUAGUCCCGAGCAGUUUGCCAGAUGUGCCAAGCAUCAUUGGGUCACCUCGCUUUUCUCAUCACUUGCAGCCAACUGAUCGUUCUCCAAGGAUACUGUUUUCUCUAAGCCAGUGCGGACUAGAAUGCUGGGUGAAGGCUAGUUUGUAGUCUUAUUGCUUUGUAAAAAAUGUCAAUUCAUUGAUUGUAACAGAAAACAAUAAAAACAUUAAAAUAAA